rnacentral:rRNA from 1 species
UACGUAGGGGGCAAGCGUUGUCCGGAAUCAUUGGGCGUAAAGCGCGUGUAGGCGGCCAGGUAAGUCCGUUCUGAAAGCCCGGGGCUCAACCCCGGGAGGCGGAUGGAUACUGCUUGGCUCGAGUCCGGAAGAGGCGAGUGGAAUUCCUGGUGUAGCGGUGGAAUGCGCAGAUAUCAGGAGGAACACCAAUAGCGAAGGCAGCUCGCUGGGACGGUACUGACGCUAAGGCGCGAAAGCGUGGGGAGCGAACAGG